AUUGAACGCUGGCGGCAGGCCUAACACAUGCAAGUCGAGCGAGCGGCGGGCGGGUGAGUAAUGUAUGGGGACUGCCCGAUAGAGGGGGGUAACUACUGGAAACGGUAGCGAAUACCGCAUACUAUCGGAUAACCCAUAUGGGAUUAGCUAGUAGGUGGGGUAAUGGCUCACAUCGGCGACGAUCCCUAGCUGGUCUGAGAGGAGGACCAGCCACACUGGGACUGAGACACGGCCCAGACUCCUACGGAGGCAGCAGUGGGGAAUUUUGCACAAUGGGCGAAAGCCUGAUGCAGCCAUGCCGCGUGUAUGAAGAAGGCCCUAGGGUUGUAAAGUACUUUCAGUCGGGAGGCGUUACCGACAGAAGAAGCACCGGCUAACUCCGUGCCAGCAGCCGCGGUAAUUC
rnacentral:rRNA from 1 species